UAGGGAAUUUUGCGCAAUGGGCGAAAGCCUGACGCAGCAACGCCGCGUGGAGGAUGACGUUUUUCGGAAUGUAAACUCCUGUUAAGAGGGAAGAAAAGCGGAUUGGUCCGCUUGACGGUACCUCUUGAGGAAGCCCCGGCUAACUUCGUGCCAGCAGCCGCGGUAAUACGAGGGGGGCAAGUGUUGUUCGGAUUUACUGGGUGUAAAGGGAGUGUAGGCGGUUUGGUAAGUCAGGGGUGAAAUGCCCACGCUUAACGUGGUGCCCUGCCUUUGAAACUACCAGGCUUGAAUGUUGGAGAGGGUAACGGAAUUCCAGGUGUAGCGGUGGAAUGCGUAGAUAUCUGGAAGAACACCAGUUGCGAAGGCGGUUACCUGGCCAAACAUUGACGCUGAGGCUCGA
rnacentral:rRNA from 1 species